GUAAAAAGUUUCUUGUAGCUAAGCUACGCUCACUGCUAUUUGUCCGAACAAAUAAGAAUCUACUUGAAGUUUGACGUGCCAAUUCUCAUUGAAAAGGCAACUGCGCCGUGGGUCUUGUUUACCGACGUAGGAGUUAUUUCAGCUAAGAUCUUAGGACGGCUAACGUUUUGGUAGUCUGCCGUCAUUAUCCUUCGUGCGGUUUCAGGAAAAUGCUUAAGAAUUGAAUGAGCUAUUAAUCCGACCGUCUAUAGGGAGGAUAAUUUUAAUUGAGAGAAAAGAAUUUUUUACAUAGAAGCAGACAAAGAGAAACCUCAGACUACCCUGCAACCCUAAGCACGGGUAACAGUCUGCAAAGUAUUUUUUAAGCGCUUCCCAAGUCCAUACUGAAACCACGUUACAACGGAAGACGCGAUAAACCUUGCGAUUAAAGGUUACAAGCUCUUCAGGAAAGAGACUCCUAAGCAAGCUCACAAAAUCCCUUCCAAGCUGGAAAUAGAAAUCGAAUAAAAGUUCGCAGGUAAAAUUCAACGUAUUUAUCCCGUCGAAAGGAUAUGUGUUAAGUGCGAGCUAAAAAAAGACUAUAAAGAAGGCAUUAAGUCCAAGACUCAAAAUGGAGCUUAUAUCAUAACUGUUAUUCUCUGUAGUUCAUUUCACUAUAUUUCUAUUCUGUGUGUGUCAGGGUCUAUUGCACGUUCUGCCAUUGAAUAUGGAAAGGAAAACGGAUCGUGAAUUAACCUCGGCUGACUUCGCAUGGCUGUACGUAGUUUACGGUCUUCUUUAUCUGACGAUGCUGCUCUUUGAAUAUUUUUGCCGAAUGACUAAAUUCACGUCGCGUCUUAUCCAAGUAACGAUGCAAUAAAUCAAGAGGAAAUUGAGAGAAUACGGACUUGAGUUAUUUAAUUAAACAGCACUACCAGCCCAGAACCUAGAACACUCGAUUGGAGAUCUCGCUCGAAGCUCUUACGUCAUCUAAGAAAAAUAAUGAAGAUCAGGUAGAAAAGGUAAGUCUAUGAAGUCAAUUUAAAAGAUUUCGAUUACUUUAUAAAUCUAGAGAUAUGAAAUAAUUCUUUAAAC